rnacentral:rRNA from 1 species
AUUGAACGCUGGCGGCAGGCCUAACACAUGCAAGUCGAGCGGUAGCACAGGAGAGCUUGCUCUCUGGGUGACGAGCGGCGGACGGGUGAGUAAUGUCUGGGAAACUGCCUGAUGGAGGGGGAUAACUACUGGAGACGGUAGCUAAUACCGCAUAACGUCUUCGGACCAAAGUGGGGGACCUUCGGGCCUCACGCCAUCAGAUGUGCCCAGAUGGGAUUAGCUAGUAGGUGGGGUAAUGGCUCACCUAGGCAACGAUCCCUAGCUGGUCUGAGAGGAUGACCAGCCACACUGGAACUGAGACACGGUCCAGACUCCUACGGGAGGCAGCAGUGGGGAAUAUUGCACAAUGGGCGCAAGCCUGAUGCAGCCAUGCCGCGUGUGUGAAGAAGGCCUUCGGGUUGUAAAGCACUUUCAGCGAGGAGGAAGGGUAGUGUGUUAAUAGCACAUUGCAUUGACGUUACUCGCAGAAGAAGCACCGGCUAACUCCGUGCCAGCAGCCGCGGUAAUACGGAGGGUGCAAGCGUUAAUCGGAAUUACUGGGCGUAAAGCGCACGCAGGCGGUUUGUUAAGUCAGAUGUGAAAUCCCCGCGCUUAACGUGGGAACUGCAUUUGAAACUGGCAAGCUAGAGUCUUGUAGAGGGGGGUAGAAUUCCAGGUGUAGCGGUGAAAUGCGUAGAGAUCUGGAGGAAUACCGGUGGCGAAGGCGGGCCCCUGGACAAAGACUGACGCUCAGGUGCGAAAGCGUGGGGAGCAAACAGGAUUAGAUACCCUG